UGUCCAGACUCCUACGGGAGGCAGCAGUGAGGAAUAUUGGUCAAUGGGCGCGAGCCUGAACCAGCCAAGUCGCGUGAGGGAUGACGGCCCUACGGGUUGUAAACCUCUUUUGCCGGGGAGCAACGGGCGCCACGUGUGGCGCCACUGAGAGUACCCGGAGAAAAAGCAUCGGCUAACUCCGUGCCAGCAGCCGCGGUAAUACGGAGGAUGCGAGCGUUAUCCGGAUUUAUUGGGUUUAAAGGGUGCGUAGGCGGGCUUUUAAGUCAGCGGUAAAAAUUCGGGGCUCAACCCCGUCCGGCCGUUGAAACUGGGGGCCUUGAGUGGGCGAGAAGAAGGCGGAAUGCGUGGUGUAGCGGUGAAAUGCAUAGAUAUCACGCAGAACCCCGAUUGCGAAGGCAGCCUUCCGGCGCCCUACUGACGCUGAGGCACGAAAGUGCGGGGAUCGAACAGGAUUAGAUACCCGAGUA
rnacentral:rRNA from 1 species